CUCCUCUCUCUCUUCAGCCAAUUUUGACUCUUUUUUAGCAGCUAUUCUGACCCCUUUUUCUUGACCAAAAUGCCCCUCAACGUUUUUUUAUUGGUGCUUUGGUUGGAAAAAGAUUACCCCUGAUGUCAAAUUUUUCCCUCAUAACAUUAAUAUCACGAUACCCAAGUCUGGAUAUCGCGAUAUCUUUUGCAGAUUCAAGAUGAG
rnacentral:lncRNA from 1 species